rfam:Ovis aries breed Texel chromosome 2, whole genome shotgun sequence.
UCCCUAGUGGUCCAGUGGCUAAGACUCUGUACUCCUAAUGCAGGGGGUCUGGGUUCGAUUCCUGGUCGGGGAA